UACGAAGGGUGCAAGCGUUGUUCGGAAUUACUGGGCGUAAAGCGCGCGUAGGCGGCUUAAUAAGUUGGAAGUGAAAUCCCGAGGCUUAACUUCGGAAUUGCUUUCAAAACUAUUAAGCUAGAGUAUGGCAGGGGACAGUGGAAUUCCUAGUGUAGAGGUGAAAUUCGUAGAUAUUAGGAGGAACACCGGUGGCGAAAGCGACUGUCUGGACCAUUACUGACGCUGAGGCGCGAAAGCGUGGGGAGCAAACAGG
rnacentral:rRNA from 1 species